GAUGAACGCUGGCGGCGUGCCUAAUACAUGCAAGUCGAGCGAACAGACGAGGAGCUUGCUCCUCUGACGAUAGCGGCGGACGGGUGAGUAACACGUGGAUAACCUACCUAUAAGACUGGGAUAACUUCGGGAAACCGGAGCUAAUACCGGAUAAUAUAUUGAACCGCAUGGUUCAAUAGUGAAAGACGGUUUUGCUGUCACUUAUAGAUGGAUCCGCGCCGCAUUAGCUAGUUGGUAAGGUAACGGCUUACCAAGGCGACGAUGCGUAGCCGACCUGAGAGGGUGAUCGGCCACACUGGAACUGAGACACGGUCCAGACUCCUACGGGAGGCAGCAGUAGGGAAUCUUCCGCAAUGGGCGAAAGCCUGACGGAGCAACGCCGCGUGAGUGAUGAAGGUCUUCGGAUCGUAAAACUCUGUUAUUAGGGAAGAACAAAUGUGUAAGUAACUAUGCACGUCUUGACGGUACCUAAUCAGAAAGCCACGGCUAACUACGUG
rnacentral:rRNA from 1 species